UACAGAGGGGGCAAGCGUUGCUCGGAAUCACUGGGCUUAAAGGGCGCGUAGGCGGUGCGGUGCGGUUGCGGUGAAAUCCCUCGGCCCAACCGAGGAACAGCCGGGGCUACGGCCGCGCUAGACGGCAUCAGGGGACAGUGGAACUUCCGGUGGAGCGGUGAAAUGCGUAGAUAUCGGAAGGAACGCCGGUGGCGAAAGCGACUGUCUGGGGUGCCUGUGACGCUGAGGCGCGAAAGCCAGGGGAUCAAACGGG
rnacentral:rRNA from 1 species